UGAUUCGAGGGUGCGCGUCUCGGGGCAGCUCCACCCGUGUUGCCCGAACCUAUGUUGCCUCGGCGGGCCCCGCGCCCGCCGACGGCCCCCCUGAACGCUGUCUGAAGUUGCAGUCUGAGACCUAUAACGAAAUUAGUUAAAACUUUCAACAACGGAUCUCUUGGUUCCGGCAUCGAUGAAGAACGCAGCGAAAUGCGAUAACUAAUGUGAAUUGCAGAAUUCAGUGAAUCAUCGAGUCUUUGAACGCACAUUGCGCCCUCUGGUAUUCCGGAGGGCAUGCCUGUCCGAGCGUCAUUGCUGCCCUCAAGCCCGGCUUGUGUGUUGGGCCCCGUCCCCCCCGCCGGGGGGACGGGCCCGAAAGGCAGCGGCGGCACCGCGUCCGGUCCUCGAGCGUAUGGGGCUUCGUCACCCGCUCUAGUAGGCCCGGCCGGCGCCAGCCGACCCCCAACCUUUAAUUAUCUCAGGUUGACCUCGGAUCAGGUAGGGAUACCCGCUGAACUUAAGCAUAUCAAAAGGCGCAGGAG
rnacentral:rRNA from 1 species